UGACACAGGAGAGCAACUCUGGUCCACUC
rnacentral:piRNA from 1 species